rfam:Biomphalaria glabrata isolate BB02 linkage group LG4 unlocalized genomic scaffold LG4_random_Scaffold403, whole genome shotgun sequence.
GGCUCGGUGGCUGAGCGGUAAAGCUCUUGGCUUCCGAACCGGGGGUCCCGGGUUCGAAUCCUGGUGAAGACU